rnacentral:rRNA from 1 species
UACGGAGGAUGCAAGCGUUAUCCGGAUUCAUUGGGUUUAAAGGGUGCGCAGGCGGAGAUAUAAGUCAGUGGUGAAAAACUGCCGCUCAACGGUAGUCUUGCCAUUGAUACUGUUUCUCUUGAGUAUGGAUGAGGUAGGCGGAAUGUGCAGUGUAGCGGUGAAAUGCAUAGAUAUUGCACGGAACACCAAUUGCGAAGGCAGCUUACUGGGCCAUUACUGACGCUCAGGCACGAAAGCGUGGGGAUCAAA